rnacentral:rRNA from 1 species
GACGAACGCUGGCGGCGUGCUUAACACAUGCAAGUCGAACGAUGAAGCUAGAGCUUGCUCUGGUGAAUUAGUGGCGAACGGGUGAGUAACACGUGAGUAACCUGCCCCGAACUCUGGGAUAACUGCUGGAAACGGUAGCUAAUACUGGAUACGACCUACGAAGGCAUCUUCUGUAGGUGGAAAGAAUUUCGGUUCGGGAUGGACUCGCGGCCUAUCAGCUUGUUGGUGAGGGAAUGGCUCACCAAGGCGAAGACGGGUAGCCGGCCUGAGAGGGUGACCGGCCACACUGGGACUGGGACACGGCCCAGGCUCCUACGGGAGGCAGCAGUGGGGAAUAUUGCACAAUGGGCGCAAGCCUGAUGCAGCAACGCCGCGUGAGGGAUGACGGCCUUCGGGUUGUAAACCUCUUUUAGUAGGGAAGAAGCGAAAGUGACGGUACCUGCAGAAAAAGCACCGGCUAACUACGUGCCAGCAGCCGCCGUAA